UUAAAUACACAGACAGAAACCAAAAAAGAAAAAGAUGGAAAGCCAAAAGAAAAGAGAAACGAAUGAAGAUUGAAGAGAAAGGAAUUAGGGAGACAGAAAAAAACCACAUUGGAGAAAAGACCAAAAAAAAAAAUUUAGAAGAAAAAAGAAAAGAGGAAAAAGGAAAGAAGACUUAGAAAAAAGAAAGAGGAAAAGAAAAGUUUGUGAGAAACCAAGAAAGGGAAAACAAAGAGAAAGAAAGGAAAAAGAUGCAAAGAGUUUAGUUUGGGUUCUGUUCGAGUUUUCGGUGACGACGUCUAUACUUUCCUUUAGUUAAUUCAUCAUAUAGGUUUUAUUCGAUUUUAUACUCUUUAUUUUAUAAGUUUUUAUGAUAAACCAAAUCAUGCAUAAAGUUGAUUUAAAUGAUUUCAUGUGUUAUUUAACAUGUGUGUUUGAUUAAUUAUGUGAGUCAUUAUUGUUGAUAUGAAUCGUACGUUUAAGGUAUGAAACACGUAUACUUGCAUAUACAUUUAAGAGUUAAUAAGUAGUCAGAAGAAUUAGAUCAUAUUCAAAUUGAUUUUCUUCUAACAAAUAAAAGAAUAAAAAAGGCAUGACGAAAUUAAUUGAUUGUUAAAGAA
rnacentral:lncRNA from 1 species